CCUACGGGUGGCAGCAGUGAGGAAUAUUGGUCAAUGGGCGCAAGCCUGAACCAGCCAAGUCGCGUGAGGGAAGACGGCCCUACGGGCUGUAAACCUCUUUUGCCGGGGAGCAAGCCUGAGCACGUGUGCCCAGGCGGAGUGUACCCGGCGAAAAAGCAUCGGCUAACUCCGUGCCAGCAGCCGCGGUAAUAAGGUGGUGGCGAGCGUUAUCCGGAUUUAUUUGGUUUAAGGGGUGCGCAGGCGGGCUGUUAAGCCGGCGGUAAAAAUUCAGGGCGAAACCCUGUCGAGCCGUCGGAACUGGCAGUCUUGAGUGGGCGAGAGGUAUGCGGAAUGCGAGGUGUAGCGGUGAAAUGCAUAGAUAUCACGCAGAACGCCGAUUGCGAAGGCAGCAUACCGGCGCCCAACUGACGCUGAGGCACGAAAGCGUGGGGAUCGAACAGGAUUAGAUACCCCUGUAGUC
rnacentral:rRNA from 1 species